CUCACCCAGGGCUCCUGUAGCUCAGGGGGCAGCCCUGAGCCCUGCGUUCACCCCGCCACCGGCCAGCUCCCCCUCCCAGCAACGGGGCACCCCUGGCCCCAUCCUGAGGGGCUCCGAACUGGCUCCCACCGAGGCAGGGGAUCUGACUGACUUGGAGUUCGGCUGGAUGUUACAGGCGUGCAAA
rfam:Dipodomys ordii contig_58880, whole genome shotgun sequence.